CAGUUACACAAUCAAGCUACAUAACUGGCUAAACAACUAUAUUUUCUCAAACUAAAAAAUAAACUGCGCAUACACAAAAAUAAGUUAUACAAUAUUUUACAACCUGAAAGUACAAAGAUUAGAUAUAUGAGCUUCAUAACCUGCAAAUUUCUGCUAUUCUCAGUCAGAAGUCCAUGUAAUUUUUUGCACUUGGCUAAGUAUACCUAAAUUCGACCGUGAUUAUAACACACAACUAGUAACAAUUACACAAUCAAACUACAUGACUGGCUAAACAACUAUAUUUUCGCAAACUACAAAAUACUGCACAUACACGAAAAUAAGUUAUCCAAUAUUUUCCAACCUGAAAGUACAAAGAUUAGAUAUAUGAGCUUCAUAACCUGCAAAGUUUUGCUAUUCUCAAUCCUUCAGAAAGGGACAACAAUACUUUCUAUUCAAUAAUUUUCAAUUAUUUUAUAUUUUUCCUCUCUUUUUACCACUCCUAAUGUAUUGAGUUCGAUUCGAAACAGAUGAUAUUCAAAUUUGCUGAAGUGCGGUUUCUUCAUCACCACCAUUUCUUCAUUUUUAAUUGGAUCGAUAGCAUUUGAAGGCACCUCUAAGACAGCUCCUUUAGUAGAAUAUGGUGGUGACAUGCCAUUCAAGCACUCCUCCAAUAUCAUUAUAGUUUGUCAAACUAUUCAAAAAUCAGUAAAAUAAACAAAUACCGAAUAUCAAAUUAUAAUAUGUAAUACAUUUACUUCGUAACACUUGUAGAAGAGUAGAUGAUUUAUGUUUUGCAUUGUAUCAUAAUUGUUAAGAAACAAUAACCAACUAUCGCAAAUUUCAGAUCAUAACUCUCAAGAAUGAUAGUUUUAUCUCGACAGAUGGAUUCCAUAAGCACUACACGUGAAUUCUCCAUAUGCUAACAUGAAUCAAAUAUUUGAAUCCUUAAAUUGAACCACAAUACAUCGAAUUUAAAAACGUAUCAACUCAUAAAUUCAGCCCACAUUUAAAUUAAACUCAAAAUUUUCAUCCAAAUGACACGUGAGCUGACCAUAAAUUGAUUCAACAACUCACUGUUAGUAAAAGAUAAAAAAGGUUUAUAUGCAUUUAAAUUAUUGUACUUACAAAUCGAAUAAUCAAGUAUUUGAGAAAACAUAAUCACGGAAUAAACACUACUCCUCAUUCAUCUAAAAAUGAAUCAAUGACUCGAUAAAAAAUAUCAAAAUAUAUAGAUAAAUGAACGAGCUUACAAAUAAAUGUAACUAAGCUAAUUUGGGGGAAAAAAAAGAGAGACUAACUUCAUGCAAACUUAAAAUUAUAUUCAUAACACAAUACAACAAGAAUUUAAUUUAACGAUAACACCUAAAACAAUAACAUAUUUGGAAAAAAAAAUCUCGGUAAAACUUCAAAAUCAAGUAAAAUUGUCAAAUUAUACAACUAACACUAAACAAGAGCGUACUAAAAUUUCAUUCAUUCUUACUUCCCAGUGUAGCCUAAAUGUAAUUCACUAAAUAAGAGUGCGCUACAUUUUUACCUAUUUUCACUUUUUCAUUAGCAGAACUUAUAGACCAUUAAAAAUUAAGUAAUCCUGGUUCAAAACAAUAGGAACACCACAUAAAAAGGAGGAAAAAAAAUAAAGGAACAAAUCUUGAUUUUUCUUAAACAAAAAAAAAUAAUAAAAUAAAAAUUAGACAAACUAAAUAAUUCUACCCAACAUUACAUGGAAAACAUUUGAAAAUCUCAAUUAUUUUAGGAAUUUGAAUAUCGUCACUUAUUAAAUCGAAACCCUACAUAUGAAUUUCGUGUAUUCUUGA
rnacentral:lncRNA from 1 species